rnacentral:rRNA from 1 species
CCUACGGGGUGCAGCAGUGGGGAAUAUUGGGCAAUGGGCGCAAGCCUGACCCAGCAACGCCGCGUGAAGGAAGAAGGCUUUCGGGUUGUAAACUUCUUUUGACAGGGAAGAGCAGAAGACGUUACCUGUCGAAUAAGCCACGGCUAACUACGUGCCAGCAGCCGCGGUAAUACGUAGGUGGCAAGCGUUAUCCGGAUUUAUUGGGUGUAAAGGGCGUGUAGGCGGGAGCGCAAGUCAGAUGUGAAAACUCAGGGCUCAACCCUGGGCCUGCAUUUGAAACUGUGUUUCUUGAGUGCUGGAGAGGCAAUCGGAAUGCCGAGUGUAGCGGUGAAAUGCGUAGAUAUACGGAGGAACACCAGUGGCGAAGGCGGCAAUCUGGCUGGAAACUGACGCUGAGGUGCGAAAGCGUGGGUAGCAAACAGGAUUAGAUACCCGUGUAGUC